UCGCUUUGGGAGGAGCUCGCUUACUAUCAGCUUGUUGGUAGGGUAAUGGCCUACCAAGGCUAUGACGGUUAGGGGGUGUGAGAGCAUGACCCCCAGCAUUGGCACUGAAACACUGGCCAAACACCUACGGGUGGCUGCAGUCGAGAAUCUUCCACAAUGGGGGAAACCCUGAUGGAGCGAUGCUGCGUGCGGGAUGAAGGCCUUCGGGUUGUAAACCGCUUUUGUAGGGGACGAAAUUUUUGACGGUACCCUUUCGAAUAAGAGGUUGCUAACUCUGUGCCAGCAGCAGCGGUAAUACAGAGACCUCAAGCGUUAUCCGGAUUUACUGGGCGUAAAGCGUCUGUAGGGGGUUUAUUAAGUUCCAAGUAAAAUUUCAAGGCUCAACUUUGAAUUCGCUUGGAAAACUAAUAAACUGGAGUCUAGCAGAGGUGCAUGGAACUUGUGGUGUAGGAGUGAAAUCCGUUGAUAUCACAAGGAACACCAAAGGCGAAGGCAUUGCACUGGGCUAGCACUGACCCUGAGAGACGAAAGCGUGGGGAGCAAAACGGAUUAGAUACCCGUGUAGUCCACGCCCUAAACGAUGAAUGCUAAUGUUCGGGGAUUCGACCCCCUGGGUGUUACAGCUAACGCGUUAAGCAUUCCGCCUGGGAAGUACGGCCGCAAGGCUAAAACUCAAAGGAAUAGACGGGGAUCCGCACAAGCGGUGGAGCGUCUGGUUUAAUUCGACAGUAAGCGUGGUACCUCACCAGGGUUUGACAUCCCUUGACAGCCUUGGAAACAAGGUUUCCUUCGGGCAAGGUGACAGGUGCUGCAUGGUCGUCGUCAGUUCGUGCCGUGAGGUGUUCCGUUAAGUCGGGAAACGAACGAAACCCCUAUUGCAUGUUACAAUUUCUCAUGCAAGACUGCCCGGAUAUACUGGGAGGAAGGUGGGGAUGACGUCAGAUCUGCAUGGUCCUUAUACCCUGGGCGACACAGGCGCUACAAUGGCAGAGACAAAGGGUUGCAAAACCGCAAGGUGAAGCUAAUCCCAAAAACUUUGUCUAAGUUCGGAUUGAAGGCUGCAAUUCGCCUUCAUGAAGCUGGAAUCGCUAGUAAUCGUGAAUCAGCCACGUCACGGUGAAUAUGUUCCCGGAUCUUGUACUCACCGCCCGUCACACCAAGAGAGUUGGUAGCUCCCGAAGCGUCCCGUUUUAGCGGGGC
rnacentral:rRNA from 1 species